CCCCCCCCCCCUCCCCUCCUACCUAUGGCUGGAAACAACAUCAGAGCUGUGACAAACAGGGAGCAGCCUUCUGUAGCCCACCCACAUUUCCAUCAAAGGAGCAAGUCUAUGUCAGUGAGAAGAAAGCUGGCCCACCCUCCCACC